rnacentral:tRNA from 1 species
CAGGGAGACAAAAAAUUGAUUGUGAUGUCUAAGUAUUUUCUCUUAGGCCGCAAUCCUGUCACCUUUAGGUCGAUCGGUACCUCAGAUUAAUUUUAUUUUUAAUAAAUUGAUUUCAGUUCCUAAACUUGUCUAGGUCACACCCAACAUUUGUUUCUCCUGGGCCAUUAGCUCAGGUGGUUAGAGCGCACCCCUGAUAAGGGUGAGGUCCCUGGUUCAAGUCCAGGAUGGCCCAUUCGGUGUUGGGGGUUUAGCUCAGUUGGUAGAGCGCCUGCUUUGCAAGCAGGAUGUCAGCGGUUCGAGUCCGCUAACCUCCACUGACGAAUCUUCUGACAACGAGCCAAUGGUGAGAAUCGUUGUGUGAUGUGAUUUAGAAUUUAAGUUUGCUGGCAGACCCUAGCUUCUUAUCAUUCCAGGACUCAAUCAAUUGAGAUGAGGUUGAUAGGACGCUGGGUUCACUGUAAUUCGCAAGAAUUGCAGAGAUGUUCAGCAGGACCUUGACAACUGCAUAGGUAAGUCUGGAAAGAAUAAAGCAUCUCAUGGAUGCAUGAUUCUUGGGAAUCAGCUGAUGCAAUCUGCGCGAGCAGAGAGCUGAGGUUGAUGAACGAGAAUGAUGUUUGAUUCUUGAGUCAAGAGCCGAGACUCUAUAGCGUUCUUUCGAUGUCAUCGAGGCAUCGAGAGUUUGAUUGGUGAUUCAAACCAUUUUCAAUGACAAACAAUUCAGUUUAACUGGAGAAGUUUGAGAUUGAAGCCAGGUGAAUUGCUAAGAAUACGUAUUCAACUACGUGAAGCGUUAUAGAGAUUAAUU